GACAGCCUCCAGCCAUCCAAGACUAGAAGUGAUUGUGCGUGCCCUGAUGCGCACAGCCACCAAGCGGAAUUUCCGGGAGCACGUACCAAGCGAAGACUCGAAAGUCAUCGUGCUAACUCUCCGAAGUUUCCGGGAAAUUUGGCCACACCAGGCUGUGUGGCCAUCCGGCGUAUGGGCAUGGAGACGACGAGCAGACGGGGCAGUGUAUAUAUUUGUCACGUAUCGACCUACAUAAACCAACUGAUGAACAAGUAAUUUACACCCUGCUAAGCAGCACCAGUGAGUUCUUAGCCUCGCGCAUGGGCAUGGGGUUGCCGGCGACAAGCCGCUUGCUGGUGUUCCUCUCUUUGCUCAAGCUUUGGAGCAUCGCCGUCGACGGUGCGUCGCCAGCUGCCGGCGCGGUGGCGCGGGAGGCGACGGCGCCUGCGCCGGUGCGGUUCGGCGUGGGGGGCAGGAGCCUGACCUGCAAUUCCGUGGAGGUCCUGGAUGCGUUCUACCUGAAGCAACCAAGCUGCGCCAACUGGGCGGACCUGCGAGCCAAGGAUUCCCGCGGAGAGGCCGUCGCAGCAGCACACGCUGCCGAGGACCUGAUCAAGAAUGCCCAAGUGCAAGCCAUCAUCUGGGGCCUUCAGAACGCUGAACAAUGCAGAUCACAUCCCACACCUGGCCGACCACAACAACAUUCCGGCUCUCUCCUUCUACGGCAGUGAUGCCUUCUGGCAAGAAGAUCCUGUAAACGAUUCCGCGGACCUUACACUUGGAUCAAAUGACAGCAUGAUGUUUCUUCAUCCAAGAACCGAGAAAAUAAACGGCAUGAAACUGGAUACAAGAAAUUCAAGACAAGAUCACGAAGGUCAGAUGAUGCUGAAAGAUUUUGCAAAUGUUAUUUAUCCUAUUUUCGAGAAACAAAACGUCAGCACGUACAGUACUGUUGAAGAUAUGGUGACUCGCAAAUGCCGAGGCUCUUCCAGGAUGAUGCUUAGUGGUGAGCACUAUGAUGAGCUUGUAUGCAGCGUGUCUCCGAGGGUGAAUUUGGGAGUGGGCGGUGUGCCAUACGCACAGUCUGGUGCGUCUAUGAUUGUGCUCGUCGAGGAUGAACCAUAUACAAUAAGUGAGUGUUUGACAAAAAACUACCACUUUAAGGGUUUGCGUCCCAUAAAACUAUCACUUUAAAAAAAAGACCGAAAACUACCAAAAUUUUCUAAUUUUGUGACUAAAAACUACCACUUUCAGAUAAUGACCAGUUUAAACGAUUUAAACGUGUUGACCGUUCAGUUGACCGUUAUUACAGGUGGGACCCACACAUCAUUCUUCUUCCUUCUCUCUCUAUCUUUCUUUGGCAUUUUCACAAACAGCUUCUGUGCAUCCCGGCUCCCAGGCGGUCGUCGCCGGAGGCGAGAGGGAGGCCGGAGCCGUGGUGCUGCUGCCACCGGGCUCAGCAGGGAGGGCCCGGCGUCGCGCCCACGCGCAGCAGCUGAACCUGCUGCCCUCCACCGGGCUCAGCAGGGAGGGCCCGGCGUCGCGCCCCCGCGCAGCCGCUUCCUCGCACCGCCGCCUCCCGCAGCGCCGCGCGCCUCGUCCGGACCGGCCGCAAGAUUGCCAGGCGCCUCGCAGCCGCCUGCCUCCACGCCUUACUCCUGCUAGUCGGCUCCACGCGGGAGGCUCUGCUGCCGGGAGGCGUUGUGUACUUCGUCGGGGCUGCGCACGUCGGCGCGGUGUGGCGCGUCGCCUUCGUGAUGAUGGUGCUGGAGGACGCCUGGGGCUUCGACGCAUACCUCUGCGAGCCCUCCGCGCGGUCGCUGGUCUCUCACAUCUGGCCGACGCUGCUGCUACUCUCCCGCAUCUGGACGGUGACGCGGCCUGCUGCUCGUGCAGCGUGACGGAGACGGUGGUGGUGACCGGAUCCACGCCGGUGGCGUGCGGGGACGAUGGUGCCUACCGGAUCUGUGGCUUGAUGCACCGGGGCACGAGGAGGAGGUCCUCAGCGAGCGGCGUACGGGCCGCGAAAGACGAUCUCGCGGAGGCGGGCCGCGAGGCCGGGCCACCGACGCGAGAUGAGGCCGGUGCGCGCGGCGGCCCGGGCGCAGCGGAGGCGGGCGAGGACGAGGAGGAGCAGGUCGUCGGGGAGGGCUCUGAUGCGGUCCGGUCGUCGCAGCCUGGUGGAACGCCGGCGAAACUCCAUUGACGCCCCAGAUCUCCGGGAUAGGCGAGGCGACCGGCUACCGCUCUCCUGUGAAGUUGACUUUGACGCCACGUCAGCGCUGACAGAUGGGCCCCACCUGUCAUAAAGACGUUUAAAUCGUCUAAACUAGUCAUUAUCUGAAAGUGGUAGUUUUUAGUCACAAAAUUAGAAAAUUUUGGUAGUUUUCAGUCAUUUUUUUUAAGUGGUAGUUCUGUGGGACGCAAACCCCUAAAGUGGUAUUUUUUGUCAAUCACUCACAAUCAGCUGGACAUUUGUAAAGCCACUAUGUAGGAAUCUUUGGUUUGCAACCAUUAUCUUCUUCUUCUAUACUGGCAUUGUUGUGUGGAUGAUUGAACUACCCAGAAAUCCAGAGUACCAAGGAUCAAGUUUGAGACAAUGUAGCGCUGCCCUCUACUUUGUUUUCUCUACUUUGCCCUUUUCUCAUGGUCAAAUUAUUAGAAGCCCCUUGUCAAAAAUUGUCGUGGUAAUAUGGUGCUUUGUAGUGCUGAUUCUGGUACAGAGCUACACAUCAAGCUUGUCAUCCAUAUUAACCACAGAGAGGCUCCGUCCUUGGGUGAUUGAUCUAGACCAGCUCCAAGGCAGUGGGGAUUUUUUAGGAUACCAAGAUGAUUCAUGUGUGCGGUCCUUCUUGAUGAAUUAUCAAAAUAUCAGUGAAAGUAGGUUAAAAACCUACACAACGAAGGAAGAAUAUGCUGCCGCUUUGAGGAAGGGGUCCAAGAAUGGAGGGGUGUCGGCUAUCGUCAGUGCGAUCCCCUGUUUAACAUCUUUCCUCUCCGAUAGUCGGUACAGAGAUGAUUUUAUGAUGCUUGGCUGCAUAUACACGUCUCCUAGAUUUGGUUUUACAUUUCGUCUAGGUUUUCCGCUAGUGCAAAACCAUUCAACUACCAUCCUGAACCUACCAGAAGGGGUUAGCGACUCACAACGAAAAGUGAGAUGUUUUGGCACCACUUCAGUGCUGAUGGGUGAUGACACAGUUCCUGACUUUGGUUUUGUACCUCUCACCUUACAAAACUUCUCGGGGCUCUUCGUCGUCACUGGAUCCAUUUCAACUAUCAUGAUACUGAUAGCCAUUGUGAGGUUGGUUUAUGCCAAAUGCACCAGGUCGAGAAACACCGACAUGGAAAGCGCCAAGGAUAAUAGUGUCGAAGAGGAUCCCCGUUCGAUGCAAAACGGCUUGGACGACAACCCUAGCCCUAGCCAACAACUCCUCCACGAAGCCGGAGAAGAUAAUUUCCAAGGUGUGCGUGAGGGUAGCCAAAAUGAUGGGGGUGCGCAGCCUGACCCAGUGCAGCAGAAUGUCAUGCACGGUGGCAUCACCCUGCAGGACACUUACAGAUUGAAACUAACAAUGUCUGAGUCAAGAAAUGCCCAAGAUGAAGGGAAGCAUCAGAUGCGAGGAAUGCAAGAGAAGUACGCCAAACCUUGGAAGUACUUCUCUCGUCAUUGAAGUGAUGUUGCGUUCUAAACCUUGGAUCAAUUAGAAUUAGCUUCCUUUUCUCCUUCCCACGCUUUUCAAGAGAGAAAUUGAUGUUCAACGAGUGAUGUGUAUAUUGUCUAUUCAGACUGAUAUUGCUUCCUCCUCACGCAUUUGAAGCAACCGAGAUACUAGAAUUCUCUGAUUCCAUUUGCAAAAAGUAAAUCAUUUAGACAUAGGCAUAGUCUCCACAUAUAAGCUUCAUUCUUAC
rnacentral:rRNA from 1 species